GACGAACCGUGCGAACGUUGUUCGGAAUCACUGGGCUUAAAGGGCGCGUAGGCGGGCAUUCAAGUCCGGGGUGAAAGCCCCCAGCUUAACUGGGGAAGUGCCUUGGAAACGGGAUGUCUUGAGGGAGGUAGGGGUCUGUGGAACUUCGGGUGGAGCGGUGAAAUGCGUUGAUAUCCGAAGGAACGCCGGUGGCGAAAGCGACGGACUGGACCUUUUCUGACGCUGAGGCGCGAAAGCCAGGGGAGCAAACGGGAUUAGAAACCCCAGUAGU
rnacentral:rRNA from 1 species